UGACGAGUGGCGGACGGGUGAGUAAUGUCUGGGAAACUGCCUGAUGGAGGGGGAUAACUACUGGAAACGGUGGCUAAUACCGCAUAACGUCGCAAGACCAAAGAGGGGGACCUUCGGGCCUCUUGCCAUCAGAUGUGCCCAGAUGGGAUUAGCUAGUUGGUGAGGUAACGGCUCACCAAGGCGACGAUCCCUAGCUGGUCUGAGAGGAUGACCAGCCACACUGGAACUGAGACACGGUCCAGACUCCUACGGGAGGCAGCAGUGGGGAAUAUUGCACAAUGGGCGCAAGCCUGAUGCAGCCAUGCCGCGUGUAUGAAGAAGGCCUUCGGGUUGUAAAGUACUUUCAGCGGGGAGGAAGGUGUUGUGGUUAAUAACCGCAGCAAUUGACGUUACCCGCAGAAGAAGCACCGGCUAACUCCGUGCCAGCAGCCGCGGUAAUACGGAGGGUGCAAGCGUUAAUCGGAAUUACUGGGCGUAAAGCGCACGCAGGCGGUCUGUCAAGUCGGAUGUGAAAUCCCCGGGCUCAACCUGGGAACUGCAUUCGAAACUGGCAGGCUUGAGUCUUGUAGAGGGGGGUAGAAUUCCAGGUGUAGCGGUGAAAUGCGUAGAGAUCUGGAGGAAUACCGGUGGCGAAGGCGGCCCCCUGGACAAAGACUGACGCUCAGGUGCGAAAGCGUGGGGAGCAAACAGGAUUAGAUACCCUGGUAGUCCACGCCGUAAACGAUGUCUACUUGGAGGUUGUGCCCUUGAGGCGUGGCUUCCGGAGCUAACGCGUUAAGUAGACCGCCUGGGGAGUACGGCCGCAAGGUUAAAACUCAAAUGAAUUGACGGGGGCCCGCACAAGCGGUGGAGCAUGUGGUUUAAUUCGAUGCAACGCGAAGAACCUUACCUGGUCUUGACAUCCACGGAAGUUUUCAGAGAUGGAAUGGUGCCUUCGGGAACCGUGAGACAGGUGCUGCAUGGCUGUCGUCAGCUCGUGUUGUGAAAUGUUGGGUUAAGUCCCGCAACGAGCGCAACCCUUAUCCUUUGUUGCCAGCGGUUAGGCCGGGAACUCAAAGGAGACUGCCAGUGAUAAACUGGAGGAAGGUGGGGAUGACGUCAAGUCAUCAUGGCCCUUACGACCAGGGCUACACACGUGCUACAAUGGCGCAUACAAAGAGAAGCGACCUCGCGAGAGCAAGCGGACCUCAUAAAGUGCGUCGUAGUCCGGAUUGGAGUCUGCAACUCGACUCCAUGAAGUCGGAAUCGCUAGUAAUCGUGGAUCAGAAUGCCACGGUGAAUACGUUCCCGGGCCUUGUACACACCGCCCGUCACACCAUGGGAGUGGGUUGCAAAAGAAGUAGGUAGCUUAACCUUCGGGAGGGCGCUUACCACUUUGUGAUUCAUGACUGGGGUGAAGUCGUAACAAGGUAACCGUAGGGGAACCUGCGGUUG
rnacentral:rRNA from 1 species